UAACAAGGAAACCCUUAGUAAUGGCGAACGAAACGGGUAAAGUCCAAGUUUGGAAUCUCUUGCGUCAAGCAAGCGAGUUGUAAACUGGAAACAUGUUCACCAUGGCAUGUUAGUGAAUGUAAAGUCCACUGGAAUGUGGCAGCGCUUCGGCGUUCUUUGGGUCAGAGAGGGUGAAAACCCCGUUUACAUUCAUUAGUGUGUCUGUUGUGUGAGCGUGUUAAAGAGUCGGAUUGUUUGGGAAUGCAAUCCAAAACGGGUGGUAAAUUCCAUCCAAGACUAAAUAUUAGCAAGAGACCGAUAGCGAACAAGUACCGUGAGGGAAAGAUGAAAAGCACUCUGAAGAGAGAGUGAAAUAGUACGUGAAAUUGCUGAAAGGGAAACGCUUGAGACGAUUGUUGCUUGCAUUUGAAUCAGUUUCGGCUGCUCUUUGAGUGUAUGGCAAGUCAACAGCAUUUCCGAGUGGCAUUGAAGCCUUUCAAGAAUGUAGCAAUCGUUCGCGGUUGUGUUAUAGCUUGGGAUGUUGCCAUGUUGCUUGGGAGUGAGGACUGCUUGACUCUUUGCGUGUUGUUUGUGUGUUUGGUUUGGCAAUUAGAGGCCUUGGCUUAACCUCCAAGACUUUAGUUGUCAAGUUAGGCACUGCAGAUGGCAAGUGGGAGUUGAAAGGUUGUUGACAAAAUGUUUGAA
rnacentral:rRNA from 1 species